rnacentral:rRNA from 1 species
UGGGGAAUUUUGGACAAUGGGCGCAAGCCUGAUCCAGCGACGCCGCGUGGAUGAUGAAGGCCUUCGGGUUGUAAAGUCCUUUCGGUAGGAAAGAUUAUGACGGUACCUACAGAAGAAGCUCCGGCUAACUUCGUGCCAGCAGCCGCGGUAAUACGAAGGGAGCUAGCGUUACUCGGAAUUAUUGGGCGUAAAGCGUGCGUAGGCGGCCAAGAAAGUUGGAUGUGAAAGCCCAGGGCUCAACCCUGGAAUUGCAUCCAAAACUACUUGGCUUGAGUGUCAGAGGGGAUAGUGGAAUUCCUAGUGUAGAGGUGAAAUUCGUAGAUAUUAGGAGGAACACCGGUGGCGAAAGCGACUAUCUGGCUGACAACUGACGCUGUUGCACGAAAGCGUGGGGAGCAAA